GACAAACUUAAUGAUGUUUUUCAUAUAAUAGCAGGGAUAUGGCCUGCGAGUUUCUACCAGUUUACCGUAAAUGAACUGACUAUGAAAAGCUUGUAUGGGUGA
rnacentral:ncRNA from 2 species